rnacentral:misc_RNA from 1 species
AAAAAAAAGUAAUAGAUAAAUAUUUUAGUAAAAAUAUAUUUAAUUAGUAAGAAUAUAAAGGAUAAAAUAAAUAAAAUAAAUUAAAAUAAUAAUCAAGUGUCACAAUUCGGUUGCCUUCUUUAUAUUAUCGGAUGCAAAACACCAUCCCACCUGCUGUCUUAGUGAUGUUAUGUAUGAUCUUGCGGAUAUGUUAAAAUUAUUUGUUUAAUUUUUUAUAUUUUUAUUUAGUUUUUU